UCUCCCUGAGACUAUAAGUCUCCUGAAGGAACGUUGAAGACGACGACGUUGAUAGGCCGGGUGUGUAAGCGCAGCGAUGCGUUGAGCUAACCGGUACUAAUGAACCGUGAGGCUUAACCUU
rnacentral:rRNA from 1 species